AUAAUACUCCAUAGAUUAGAGACACUGGAAUGUUCUUUAGUCGAAAGUUCUGGCGCCUUAGGAUGGAUCUGCGGUCGAUUAGGUUGUUGUUGGGGUAACGGCCCAACAAGCCUGUAAUCGAUACGGGUUGUGGGAGCAAGAGCCCGGAGAUGGAAUCUGAGACACGAUUCCAGGCCCUACGGGGCGCAGCAGGCGCGAAAACUUUACAAUGCAGGAAACUGUGAUAAGGGAACUCCGAGUGCCCGUAUACGCGGGCUGUCCAGGUGUUUAAAAAUCAUCUGAAGAAAGGGCCGGGCAAGACCGGUGCCAGCCGCCGCGGUAAUACCGGCGGCUCGAGUGGUGGCCACUAUUAUUGGGCUUAAAGCGUCCGUAGCUGGACCGAUAAGUCUCUUGGGAAAUCCGCCGGCUCAACCGGCGGGCGUCUAAGGGAUACUGUUAGUCUAGGGACCGGGAGAGGUGAGAGGUACUCCGGGGGUAGGAGUGAAAUCCUGUAAUCCCCGGGGGACCACCGAUGGCGAAGGCAUCUCACCAGAACGGCUCCGACAGUGAGGGACGAAAAGCUGGGGGAGCGAACCGGAUUAGAUACCCGGGUAGUCCCAGCCGUAAACUAUGCGCGUUAGGUGU
rnacentral:rRNA from 1 species